AAUCUUUAUUUACAUAUUUUGUUAAACGCUUGCUCUCCCAUCAAGAUCCUGAGAUCCAUAUUCAAUCUUCUGUUUCUCGAGGAGCUUUUGCUUUCUUAGUAAGAUCCGGUUUUGCUAUUAUCGAUCGUAUCAUAGAAAUAUGAUGCAUAUAGACUUUGUUUAUGUGCAAGAUUUUUGUUGUUCUGUAAUGAAAAAUCUAUGAGUGAUGUUUAGAAGAUUAUCUCUUGAAAUAUCAUUGGCACAAGUUCACUCAACUUCGUAAUGAAUUUGAAGAUCAUCAAUCUAAACAUAGAGCCAAUAGGUUUCCCCAAAAGCUCAUUUGGAUCUAGACACAAAGUUUGAUGUAUUUUAUUUAACAAUGGCUAAUAUAGAGUCAAUGACUGUAGUGGAAAAUAUUCACUUUUAGUGGGAAAAGAAUUUAAGCACUUUACUUGUGAUGUUAUACUUCAUGAUAAGAUUAAUAUAUCACUUUUAAAAUUUAAAACAACGAUACAUAAUAUUGGUAUAUAAAUAUAUCAUCUUGAUAUACUUAAUAUUGUUAAUAAUAUGUUUUCUAAAACUUAUAAAUGAGUAAUUUUGACAGAUGAAAGUGUAUAAACAUGUACAACACAACAUGAUCGUCAAUAUUUUAUUUUUUCAAUAUAUAACAUGAAUUAAUAUAAAUGAUCAUAGAUUUAUAAUUAAUUAAAUAUGAUAAUACUUUUUUUUAUCUUAUAGUUACUAUUUUUAAUAAAACUUUCUCUGAUAAAUAUAUAAAUUACAUAGAAAAAUACAUAGAAAUAUGUAUAACAUUAUCUAUGUUCGCCGACACUUUUAAAUUUAUUGAUAUAUUAUUUUAUAGACUUAUAGUUGAUUAAAUACUAGGUUAUACUCCACCUUAUGUAAAAAUAAAACAUUUAAAUUUGCUCUACUAAAAAGGUGUGUGUUUACAUAUACGAACUUAAUAAAGAAAAAUAUGGGCCCAAUUUGAAUAAAGAAAAAUAAAGAAGCCCAGAUAAAAAAGCCUAUAGUUCAUUAGUCAGCUCCGCUUUUAGACUUCCAGUCUCCAUAGAAACAAUGCAGAUCGUCUCAGACUUCUCCUCCGCCUUUCCCCACCCACGCGCUGCCGCAUUAGCCACCACCUCCACAUCCAGUAUCUCAAUUUCACAUUCUCCGGCGAUAAAAUUUCACUCUGCUAACGUAUCUCCAUCCUCGUCACUACUGCUAGCUUCCUCUUCUUCUUCUACUCGUAGAUGUUUCACCUGUCGAUUUGACAACAAUUCUCCGCGGUUUGAUCCGAGCGACGGCGAUUAUUAUAAUGAGACUGAAUCAGAUGAUUGUUUGACCGAAUGCUUGGCAGAUGGGAAGACGGAGGAUGGGGUGGUUCUCAUCUCGGUGGAGAAGCUCGAGAAGAGCUCGCGGCGGAUACGCUCGAAGGUUGGAAUUGAAGCGAGUCUCGAUGCCGUGUGGAGCGUGUUGACUGAUUACGAGAAGCUGUCGGAGUUCAUACCGGGCCUUGUCGUCAGCGAGUUGGUCGAGAAGGAAGGCAACCGUGUUCGUCUUUUUCAGAUGGGACAGCAAAGCAUCGCUUUGGGUCUUAAGUUUAAUGCCAAAGCUGUUCUAGAUUGUUUCGAGAAGGAGCUUGAGAUUCUACCACGUGGGAGGAGACGUGAAAUCGACUUUAAGAUGGUAGAAGGAGAUUUUCAGUUGUUUGAAGGCAAAUGGUCCAUUGAACAAACAAAGGAGAGGCUUCGGAUUUACAGUUUAAAGAUUUUCCGACAACGCUUGCAUACACUGUGGAUGUAAAACCAAAGAUGUGGUUACCUGUACGGCUAGUUGAAGGAAGAUUAUGUAAUGAGAUAAAAACAAAUCUUUUGAGUGUUAGAGAUGCGGCUCAGAAAGUCAUUGAAGGUGUUAUUCAUGAUCUUUGAGUUUUUUUUUCCUAUUAAGACCAAGUUGAAGUAGUGUUUCUACAUACACACGGUA